ACCCCUUCUCAUCUCCCUCUGUUUCUCUCACUAAGAUGCAUAGACAGGCCAUAAAUAUGGAUGAACUACCGUCAAUCUCCAGCCUACCCUAUCCGUAGGAUCUAUCAUCUACCGCUAUCAGUUUCUUCAAAAGAACCUUUUGUUUACCUUCCACCACCACUUCCAGUCAGGAAUCGGGACGGGAAUACGGGAGCAUGACCUCAUGUUCAGAUGAACGCUACGGUGUAGCGACGGGUCUAGUGAUCUAUCUGGUGAAUCGCCGGCGUCGGGGAGGUCGGUGGUGGCGGGUGCAGCAGCCAGGCUGCGCGGCCUGAAGGUGUUUGAUUAAAUGGCUCACCGUAAAUACAACGUCUGGCUGAGAAGGCGGAAGGGGAGUCUAUGCUGUCCAGCCAGACAUCGGCGAUGUAGCGGUAAGCCGCUUCCGUCAAGUGGACGCCGUCCCAGAACAGACGAGCAGCCGGCUUCUCACAUAAGUUUGCACCUUCAUCACCGCAGAAAAGUGUCCCAGGCCCUCCGCAACAGAUGGUGACUCCACCAUGUCCAUGAUUGGACCGAAGAGGUCGGCGUAAACGAUCAUGGCCUCCGGGUGCCUGCCCCGGAGCUUGUCAAGGGCAUCCUGCAGCAGCAGGUUGUGGUGCAUCCCUAGCUUGUUGAUAUCUUCCAGGCAACCGGUGGUGGAGUUGUAUUCUGCCGGGGCGGCAUCGGGGAACAAGGCUAGAACCGGCGGUGCGCAUCCCGAUGGGAUUGUCCCCGGAACCACGAAAUUUGU